rfam:Ruminococcus sp. 37_24 Ley3_66761_scaffold_391, whole genome shotgun sequence.
UGCGGAUUAGAGAAGUAGUUAACUCGCUUGGCUCAUAACCAAGAGAACAUUGGUGCAAAUCCAAUAUCCGCUA